rnacentral:rRNA from 1 species
GACGAACGCUGGCGGCGUGCUUAACACAUGCAAGUCGAACGGAAAGGCCCUGCUUUUGUGGGGUGCUCGAGUGGCGAACGGGUGAGUAACACGUGAGUAACCUGCCCUUGACUUUGGGAUAACUUCAGGAAACUGGGGCUAAUACCGGAUAGGAGCUCCUGCUGCAUGGUGGGGGUUGGAAAGUUUCGGCGGUUGGGGAUGGACUCGCGGCUUAUCAGCUUGUUGGUGGGGUAGGGGCUUACCAAGGCUUUGACGGGUAGCCGGCCUGAGAGGGUGACCGGCCACAUUGGGACUGCGAUACGGACCAGACUCGUACGGGAGGCAGCAGUGGGGAAUAUUGCACAAUGGGCGGAAGCCUGAUGCAGCAACGCCGCGUGCGGGAUGACGGCCUUCGGGUUGUAAACCGAUUUCGCCUGUGACGAAGCGUGAGUGACGGUAAUGGGUAAAGAAGCACCGGCUAACUACGUG